CGAAACUGCAGUUCAUGAGAAGCAGAUCAACGUUUUACUAACUGCACUUAUUUUCUGUGUUGCAAUGCCUAAAUCCUGUUUUGCUGUGACCUUUAGAUAUGUCGCCUACCUCAGUUUUCUUCUAAUAGAUGUCAUAAAUGGAGACAAAAUAACACCAUCAGAAUCAAGCAAAACAGUAUGCAAAGGGGAUAAUGUAAUUCUGUCCUGUAACUUCACAACGCUUGAUACAACUCCAGAAUUGCUCUGGUAUCGUCAGAAGCCAAAUGAAUCUGUCAUUUAUUUGGGACUUUAUAUGAGUACUUAUCUAAAUAAUGCAAAAGCUGGACGUUUCACAGCAUGGUAUAACAUGUCAUCAAGUUCCACUUUUCUGCAUAUCUUUGAGGCACAGCUUUCUGACUCAGCAGUUUAUUACUGCGCACUUAGUGACACAGUGACUGACAUCUCCGGUAAUAUUGUACAGGAACUGCUGCUGAAUGAAAUGUGAAUACAAACGUGUAUUCCUAACCCUCACAUAUAUGGAAAACGCAUUAUAUAAUAUAACUGGAUUUGUUUUCUGUGGUCAUUAUCUACAAUUUAGAUAUUUUUUUUAUAUUAAAUUCUUGUUUAAUGCCAUAGAGAAAAUGUCUUGUUUCUGGCCAUUGUCUCACACUUCUGAAACAUUUUUCAUUCCUGUUUCAGGUCAUGUCUUGAUAAAUUUGUAGUACAGCCACACAAGUAACUUCCCAGAUAUUCCUGCUUCAACAAGCACUUUAUGUACAUUGAUGAACAUAAAUGUAAAGACAGUCUACUCUAAUGUGUUGUACAUUCAAUAAAAAUAACGCAUUGUAUGAAGUGCCCUCAA